rnacentral:rRNA from 1 species
GACGAACGCUGGCGGCGUGCCUAAUACAUGCAAGUCGAACGCAGUGGGGACGGGUGAGUAACACGUGGGUAACCUCCCAUCAGAGGGGAUAACACUUGGAAACAGGUGCUAAACCGAUACUGAUGGAUGGUCCCGCGGUGCAUUAGCUAGUUGGUGAGGUAACGGCUCACCAAGGCCACGAUGCAUGGCAGACCUGCGAAGGGGAUCGGCAACACUGGGACUGAGACACGGCCCAGACUCCUACGGGGAGCAGCAGUAAGGAAUCUUGGACAAUAGACGAAAGUCUGACCGAGCAACGCCGCGUGAGUGAAGAAGGUUUUCUGAUCGUAAAACUCUAAUGUAAGAGAAGCGGUAUAUAACGAGAAAGCCACGGCUAACUACGUGCCAGCAGCCACGGUAAUUC